rnacentral:ncRNA from 1 species
AACAAUAUUAUCUGCCUAUAUAAUACCGUAAUAUGGUCGGUAAGUCUCUACCCAAAGCCUUAAACUUUGGACUAUAAGCAACAAGAG